CUACGGGGUGCAGCAGUCGAGAAUCUUCCGCAAUGCACGAAAGUGUGACGGAGCGAUGCCGCGUGAUGGAUGAAGCGUUUUGGCGCGUAAACAUCUUUUAUACGUGAACAAGUUUAUUGAGAUUAGCGUAUGAAUAAGGGGCUCCCAAUUCUGUGCCAGCAGGAGCGGUAAUACAGAAGCCUCAAGCGUUACCCGGAAUCACUGGGCGUAAAGGGUGUGUAGGUGGCAUGAUUAGUCGUUUGUUAAAUCCCGGGGCUCAACCCCGGAAUCGCGGGCGAAACGGUCAAGCUAGAGGGUGCGAGGGGUCUGCAGAACUCAUGGUGUAGGGGUGAAAUCCGUUGAUAUCAUGGGGAAUACCGAAAGCGAAGGCAGCAGACUGGCGCAUUCCUGACACUCAGACACGAAACCUAGGGUAGCGAAGGGGAUUAGAUACCCUAGUAGUC
rnacentral:rRNA from 1 species